AGCUUUCUGAAUUUGUUCCGAGAUUUUGUCAGAUCCCAACCCACAUAAACUGAUGGGACUUUAAAAAUAAGUGACGUG
rfam:Schistosoma haematobium scaffold771_7, whole genome shotgun sequence.